GCGCUCUUUGUGAGGAACGGAGCGCUUUGCGCGUGCGCGACGAGUAGGCGCGCGUUGCGCCCCUUGUUGAAUUAUGGUGUGGAGCGAAAGCGCUCUAGAGAGGGAAGUGAGUGGCUUCAAGGGUUGGGACUGGCGGUAGCUCCCGGGUCAGUUGUUACAGGAAGCAGAUACCACAGCUGAUUUCAACCAGAAAAUGGAGGGAGUUGGCUUUCAUCGCACCCCAGUGUGACAUGAUUCCGACUGACUGUGUCUGCGGAAUAGCAACUGCUUCUUUUCUCAAAAGGAAUCCUGGUAUCAAGGAUGGAUAUGCUAGCUGACUCAGCCAGCAGCGCCAGAGUUCAUGAUCAACCAGCUGCCCCACAGUGAUGGCCGCACAGCUCCUCAGAAGGGUGGUGUCCACCAGGAACCUUCUGAGACUGAUUGCCAAUCUUUGACGUCACCUUUGUCUCCAUGUCCUUCCGUCUUCUCUUUCCUGGAGGUAUUGCUUCUUUGAUUUAACAGAUGCUUGUCAAUUCUUUACCUAGUGCAGAGUCAUUAAAAAUGUGUCCCCGGUUUUCUGCCUUCUGUGGUUCUAUCGCUUACAUUUCAAUAUUUGAUCCAUUUUGAGUUAAAGGAGUUAAUCCUUGUAUACAGAAUCAGGCAAGGCUCCAACCUCAUUCUUUUGCGUGUGAUGAUUC